rnacentral:rRNA from 1 species
UACGUAGGGCGCAAGCGUUGUCCGGAAUUAUUGGGCGUAAAGAGCUCGUAGGCGGCUUGUCACGUCGGGGGUGAAAGUCCGGGGCUCAACUCCGGAUCUGCGGUGGGUACGGGCAGACUAGAGUGAUGUAGGGGAGACUGGAAUUCCUGGUGUAGCGGUGAAAUGCGCAGAUAUCAGGAGGAACACCGAUGGCGAAGGCAGGUCUCUGGGCAUUAACUGACGCUGAGGAGCGAAAGCAUGGGGAGCGAACAGG